rnacentral:rRNA from 1 species
AGAGCGAACGCUGGCGGCAGGCUUAACACAUGCAAGUCGAGCGCUCGUAGCAAUACGAGAGCGGCAGACGGGAGAGUAACACGUGGGAACGUACCCUUUGGUUCGGAACAACACAGGGAAACUUGUGCUAAUACCGGAUAAGCCCUUACGGGGAAAGAUUUAUCGCCAAAGGAUCGGCCCGCGUCUGAUUAGCUAGUUGGUGGGGUAACGGCUCACCAAGGCGACGAUCAGUAGCUGGUCUGAGAGGAUGACCAGCCUCAUUGGGACUGAGACACGGCCCAAACUCCUACGGGAGGCAGCAGUGGGGAAUAUUGGACAAUGGGCGCAAGCCUGAUCCAGCCAUGCCGCGUGGAUGAUGAAGGCCUUAGGGUUGUAAAGUCCUUUUAACGGGGAAGAUAAUGACGGUACCCGUAGAAUAAGCCCGGCUAACUUCGUGCCAGCAGCCGC